AUACGUAGGUGACAAGCGUUAUCCGGAUUUACUGGGCGUAAAGGGCGUGUAGGCGGUCUUGCAAGUCAGAAGUGAAAUUCCUGAGCUCAACUCGGGCGCUGCUUCUGAAACUGCAGGACUUGAGUGCUGGAGGGGAUAGCGGAAUUCCUAGUGGAGCGGUAAAAUGCGCAGAUAUUGGGAAGAACACCGGUGGCGAAGGCGGCUAUCUGGACAGUAACUGACGCUGAGGCGCGAAAGCAUGGGUAGCGAACAGGAUUAGAUACCCUGGUAGUCCAUGCCUUAAACAGUGGGCGCUAGGUGUAGGGGGUAUCGACCCCUUCUUUGCCUCAGUCAACACAUUAAGCAUUCCGCCUGGGGAGUACGGCCGCAAGGUUGAAACUCAAAUGAAUUGACGGGG
rnacentral:rRNA from 1 species